GAUGAACGCUGGCGGCGUGCCUAAUACAUGCAAGUCGAGCGAACGGACGAGAAGCUUGCUUUUCUGAUGUUAGCGGCGGACGGGUGAGUAACACGUGGAUAACCUACCUAUAAGACUGGGAUAACUUCGGGAAACCGGAGCUAAUACCGGAUAAUAUUUUGAACCGCAUGGUUCAAAAGUGAAAGACGGUCUUUCUGUCACUUAUAGAUGGAUCCGCGCUGCAUUAGCUAGUUGGUAAGGUAACGGCUUACCAAGGCAACGAUGCAUAGCCGACCUGAGAGGGUGAUCGGCCACACUGGAACUGAGACACGGUCCAGACUCCUACGGGAGGCAGCAGUAGGGAAUCUUCCGCAAUGGGCGAAAGCCUGACGGAGCAACGCCGCGUGAGUGAUGAAGGUCUUCGGAUCGUAAAACUCUGUUAUUAGGGAAGAACAUAUGUGUAAGUAACUGUGCACAUCUUGACGGUACCUAAUCAGAAAGCCACGGCUAACUACGU
rnacentral:rRNA from 1 species